UCUUGGUCUUGUAGGAUUUUUCCAGUUGGGGAGUUGUAAGGAGGUUCCCAUACCCUCUGGCUUCCCUUCGAUACUGCUCGGAGAUGUUUUAGACAAAGAAAAUGAAACCCCUUUAUUCAUUUGAAGGAAUCAUUUCGUCUUUUUUGUUUUCCUCCGACACAUGGGAAGAAAAGUUAGGCUGCCGAAACCCGGGAUCGAACCAGGGACCUUUAGAUCUUCAGUCUAACGCUCUCCCAACUGAGCUAUUUCGGCUCCUGCGGGCUCUGAUCUCCACUUCUGUCCUCCUCGUCGUCUAAUGGCCCUGGGUCCUCGACCCGGGGAUCCGCUGCGGAGGAACCAGGGUCAGCGGGAACGCAUGCCUGCCAGGCUCGCCCCGCACCCGCCCCUUCUCGUCCUUCAAAGUCACCGCCUCCGAGAAGCCUUCUCUGAUCACGCCUCCCUACACGACCCCAGCCCUUUAUUGUUUACUGUUGGCUUAGGUAUUGUUUUCCUUGUCCAUUAUCUGUCCCCCCGGCUAGAAUGACAGACCCACGACGGGCAGAGAAUUCAUCAGCCUCUGUCACUGCUGUAUCGCUUAAGGCCGACAACAGUGUCUGGCACCUAAUAGGUGCUUAAAAAUAUUUGCUGAAUUAAGGAAAGAACGAAUCUUAUCUGGCUCAGAGCUCCACUUUCUCAGGCUCCCUUCUCUGGGCAACUGAACAAGGUCUCCCCUUGGGUGCAGCUCCCCAAGCAGCCCAAGGCAUGGCAGGGAUGCUGACCACGCCAAGGCAUGUGGGAGGCCGUAUGGGCUUUCCUUGGGGCAGUGACUCAGAUCCGGCCUCCAAGCAUGGCUACCCCACCUGUGGCAACUGCUCAGCUUCAAGGCACGAAGAAAUCAACAGGUCGGCAUCCAGAUCACAGUCACACGACCAGAAGGCAAAGCAGGGAAGGGGACCCAAAUCCCCCGCAUCAGCUGGCUUAAGAAGGGAGCUCCGUUGGAGAGGGCGGAGCUAGUCAAACGCCCUUGGUCUCAAUCACAGAUGCCCGUGUCCCCUCCCCUGGAGAUUCGGAUUCAGGCUGUGCUGCGUGGCUUGCAGGAUCUUAUUUCCCCAACCAGGGAUCGAACCCGUGCCCCCUGCAGUGGACCACCAGGGAAUUCCCGAAUUUAUGCGUUUAUAUUAACACAAAUUGAUUCAGGAAAAAUACCUAAGUAAAAGUGAGAAAAAUGAUCAACCUCUACAG